UACGUAGGGGGCUAGCGUUGUCCGGAAUCAUUGGGCGUAAAGAGCGUGUAGGCGGUCCGGUAAGUCCGCUGUGAAAGUCGGGGGCUCAACCCUCGAAUGCCGGUGGAUACUGUCGGGCUAGAGUACGGAAGAGGCGAGUGGAAUUCCUGGUGUAGCGGUGAAAUGCGCAGAUAUCAAGGAGGAACACCUAUUGCGAAGGCAGCUCGCUGGGACGUAACUGACGCUGAGACGCGAAAGCGUGGGGAGCGAAACAGG
rnacentral:rRNA from 1 species